CGUAUCACCCAAGACAACUUUACGGAGUUGACGAUUGACGGAGCGAAGCGACGUCAAAGCGUUCAUUAAAGUCGAGUUGGCUUAGGGAUACGUUCGUUGGGUAGGGGAGCGUUCUGUAAGCCUGUGAAGGUGUGUCGUGAGGCAUGCUGGAGGUAUCAGAAGUGCGAAUGCUGACAUAAGUAACGAUAAAGCGGGUGAAAAGCCCGCUCGCCGGAAGACCAAGGGUUCCUGUCCAACGUUAAUCGGGGCAGGGUGAGUCGACCCCUAAGGCGAGGCCGAAAGGCGUAGUCGAUGGGAAACGGGUUAAUAUUCCCGUACUUGGUGUUACUGCGAAGGGGGGACGGAGAAGGCUAUGUUGGCCGGGCGACGGUUGUCCCGGUUUAAGCGUGUAGGUGUGUGUUCCAGGUAAAUCCGGUUCACUUUAACACUGAGGCGUGACGACGAGGCACUACGGUGCUGAAGCAACAAAUGCCCUGCUUCCAGGAAAAGCCUCUAAGCAUCAGGUAACAUCAAAUCGUACCCCAAACCGACACAGGUGGUCAGGUAGAGAAUACCAAGGCGCUUGAGAGAACUCGGGUGAAGGAACUAGGCAAAAUGGUGCCGUAACUUCGGGAGAAGGCACGCUGACAC
rnacentral:rRNA from 4 species